GUGAGUCAUCGAAUCUUUGAACGCAUAUUGCGCCCACGGCCUCGGCUAAGGGCAUGCCUGUCUCAGCGUCCGCUCACCCCCUCGUCCUCCCUUUCGAUUUCGAAAGCGGUUUGGACGGAUGUGGCCGUCUCGCUCGCCCUCUUUCGAGGGAGAGCGGGUCGGCUGAAGCUCAGGGCUCGCGGCGGGACCCCAAUCGAUCGGGGCGCCAGCAUGGUAGGUGGCUCACGCUCACAUAUCGGCUGUCGUCUCCCACAUCACCGGGCGCUCCGCCUGUUGCCACAGCAGGAAAAACCAAUCAAA
rnacentral:misc_RNA from 1 species